ACCUUGAAGGCAAGAUGGAGUAUAUCUGUGCUGCACCUCCUGGGUCUAUACUGAUUAGUGAUUACUUGACUACAGUAGCGUCUGUACAGCAACCACUAUUGAGCACACUAUUUAAUGUCUCUGUCUCUUUCGAGCUUAGGAUUUAUGCUUACUAAAAGUAUCAAGAAUUUCAUUCAAUCUAAUUCAAGUAUCAAGCUAUGUAGUAUCAAGAGCACAGGACUACACAUGCAUGA